GCCGGGGUAGCCUAGCCUGGAUGGGCGCCAGACUCAUAAUCUGGAGGUCGCGGGUUCAAAUCCCGCCCCCGGCACCA
rnacentral:tRNA from 1 species